GGAAUAUGCCGCCCUCAGGAAAUCUGCCAAGCUGCCUCCUGAUCAUCCAACUCGAGUGCGAAACCGGAGGAAGCAGCUUGAGUAUUUGCGGCUGGAGAAUACUAUCAACCAACAUCUGACGCAGCUUCACCAUGAGUUCUUGAGGGAGCUGAAGCUAAAGAAAGCGGCUGG